rnacentral:rRNA from 1 species
UACGUAGGGGGCGAGCGUUGUCCGGAAUUACUGGGCGUAAAGCGCGCGUAGGUGGCCCGCCAAGUUCGGCGUGAAAUCUCCAGGCUCAACUUGGAGGGUCGUCGAAGACUGACGGACUAGGGUCUGGCAGAGGCAGGUAGAAGUUCCCGGUGGAGCGGUGAAAUGCGUAGAGAUCGGGAGGAACACCGAUGGCGAAGGCAGGUCACUGGGCCGCAACGUGACGCUGAGGAGGCGAAAGCAUGGGGAGCGAACAGG